GAAAGAAGUUUCCCCUCCCUCUGGGCAGACACAGCCCCAGCAGAGGGAACAGAGUGGAGAGGACAGGUGAGUGGAGAGGAUGGUACAGUGUGAAUAACCACAGCUGAUGGCCCUGCUUCCGCCUCCUCUACCUGCCCCCUCCCCUCGGCCCUGGCCUCCCCACGCCCCUCCGUCCUCCUCCUCCUGUGCCCAGUCCUUUGCCACCGUUCCUAGUUCUAGAUCCCUUGGUCCUUCUCAUCACCCUCAUCACCACAGGUUCCUCCCCACCCCGUCCUGGUGCCACAGACUUGGGCCUUCUCAGGGCACAGAGGGUGCUGACCUGGCGUCAAUCCAAAGGAUGCGCUUCUCCAGUAGAUGUUGCCUGCAAUCCAGUCUACAGCCAGGCCCUCGGGUGUGGCCAGGCCAUACUGAAUCACCACCUCGAAACUAGUCAGGGCUGGAGAAGAGAGGGCAGUGAAAGGUUAGCGUCUCCUGGGGAGCUGUGCAUGAAUGUGUGAAAUCCUGGGAGCCCUCGAUGACCCACCCUCAACCCUGGCACUUCUGCCAAAGUUUCUGAUGUGCCCAUAUUCAAGAGUAGGACUCCUAUUGUCUCCCCAACUUUUUUUUUUUUUUUGAGACAGGGUCUUCUGUCACCAAGGCUGGAUGCAGUGGCAUGAUCAUGGCUCACGGCAGCCUCAACUGCUUGAGCUCAAGUGACUGCCAUAAAGAUUUUUCCAUGCUAAUACAUUAUGUGUGUGCCUCAUUGUUUUAGAGACUGUUGCACAGUGUGGAUAUCAUCACAGUUUACUUAGCCUCCCCCCUCGUUGAUGG
rnacentral:lncRNA from 10 species